AUUGAACGCUGGCGGCAGGCCUAACACAUGCAAGUCGAGCGGAUGAAGGGAGCUUGCUCCUGGAUUCAGCGGCGGACGGGUGAGUAAUGCCCAGGAAUCUGCCUGGUAGUGGGGGAUAACGUCCGGAAACGGGCGCUAAUACCGCAUACGUCCUGAGGGAGAAAGUGGGGGAUCUUCGGACCUCACGCUAUCAGAUGAGCCUAGGUCGGAUUAGCUAGUUGGUGGGGUAAAGGCCUACCAAGGCGACGAUCCGUAACUGGUCUGAGAGGAUGAUCAGUCACACUGGAACUGAGGCACGGUCCAGACUCCUACGGGAGGCAGCAGUGGGGAAUAUUGGACAAUGGGCGAAAGCCUGAUCCAGCCAUGCCGCGUGUGUGAAGAAGGUCUUCGGAUUGUAAAGCACUUUAAGUUGGGAGGAAGGGCAGUAAGUUAAUACCUUGCUGUUUUGACGUUACCAACAGAAUAAGCACCGGCUAACUUCGUG
rnacentral:rRNA from 1 species